rnacentral:antisense_RNA from 1 species
UUCAAUGGUGAUGCUAGCGGGGCAGCCUUCGGGCUGGCUGGUUUCCGUGUGUGCCAGUAGUGCAAACCCUGCUAGCGUCACCGCCUCU